CCUUCUGCUUCACUCUCAAACUUCUUUUUUCGUCAAACCUUUAGCUUCAUUUCACGCUCAACGCAGUCAUUGGUGAGCCAAUUUGCGAUGAAAGCAUUUCGCUAAGUGUUCUCUACACUGUUCUCUACGGGGUUAGUGAUUUCGCAAGAGCUUUUUAAUCUUUCUCUUCUCUACGCUGUUCUUCGAUCAAUUGCUUCCACUUAAGGUGAGUUUUCGAUUCAUAUCCAUUUUCAUUCCCUAUUUUUGCUUUGUAUAAUAUUUUGUUUUAAUUUUUUUGUUCAAAGGUUUUAGGUGGAACAAAUUUUUCAGAGAUUACACAAAAAUUUACACACUAUUUUUAAUUCCAUUUGUUAGUUCGAAAAAAUUCACAUAGCUGAACCUAAUCUGUUGGAGUUGAGUAUCCUAACAGAGUGGCCCAAAGUUCAGUAUAUAGGUUGACUUGUACCUUCUUUGUUUCCUAUAAAUGUUUACCAGUUCAUUGUAUAAUUCCAGAAUGAACUUGAGGCUGCAAAAUCUGAGAUUAAGAAGUGGCAUUUUUCAUUUCAAAAUUAACCUUUUAUAUCUGCUGGGACCACUCCAGCACCAAAAUUGGUGAUUAAUUAUCUUCAAGCUCUGAAAUCAUUUGAAGAGUCUUUAAGAGAGCAGCUUGAAAAAGCAAAGAAAAAGGAAGUUGCAUUCAUUGUCACAUUUGCAAAACGAGAACAAGAGAUAGCAGAGUUGAAGUUGGGGAUGAAUUUUGAACUUGUUAGAUCAAAUUCAACGAUUCUCCAUGUCUUCCCCUUCAAUUAUGAGAAAAAGAUUGUUUUAGAAACUUGUACACAAUAUAUUGAUUCUGAUGGUCACUUGAAAUCUAUUGAAGAAGAAAAGGUAAGGAACAACAGCUUCAUGUGAUAGAAAGUUUG